rnacentral:tRNA from 1 species
AUAAGUGUAGUAUAAAUUAUUAUGUUAGAUUUAGAAUCUAAAGAUUUUUGCUUAUU